rnacentral:rRNA from 1 species
UACGUAGGGUGCGAGCGUUGUCCGGAAUUACUGGGCGUAAAGAGCUCGUAGGUGGUUCUGUAUGUCUACCGUGAAAGCGUACGGCUCAACCGUAUUUUGUCGGUGGAAACUGCAGGACUUGAGGCUGGGAGGGGCUGGUGGAAUUCCCUGUGUAGCGGUGAAAUGCGUAGAGAUUUGGAGGAACACCAGUGGCGAAGGCGACUUUCUGGUCUGUAACUGACGCUGAGGCGCGAAAGCGUGGGGAGCAAACAGG